GGAGAGUUGGCUGAGUGGUCUAAGGCGCACGACUGGAAAUCGUGUGUACCCUUUAAAGGUACCUAGGGUUCAAAUCCCUAACUCUCCG
rnacentral:tRNA from 1 species